rnacentral:rRNA from 1 species
UACGGGGGGGGCAAGCGUUGUUCGGAAUUACUGGGCGUAAAGGGCUCGUAGGUGGCCAACUAAGUCAGACGUGAAAUCCCUCGGCUUAACCGGGGAACUGCGUCUGAUACUGGAUGGCUUGAGUUCGGGAGAGGGAUGCGGAAUUCCAGGUGUAGCGGUGAAAUGCGUAGAUAUCAGGAGGAACACCGAUAGCGAAGGCAGCUCGCUGGGACGGUACUGACGCUGAGGCGCGAAAGCGUGGGGAGCGAACAGG